GGACUACCCGGGUAUCUAAUCCUGUUCGCUCCCCACGCUUUCGCUCCUCAGCGUCAGUUGUUGCCCAGAGACCCGCCUUCGCCACCGGUGUUCCUCCUGAUAUCUGCGCAUUUCACCGCUACACCAGGAAUUCCAGUCUCCCCUGCAACACUCUAGUUUGCUCGUAUCGACUGCAGACCCGAGGUUGAGCCUCGGGAUUUCACAGCCGACGCAACAAACCGCCUACGAGCUCUUUACGCCCAAUAAUUCCGGACAACGCUUGCACCCUACGUAUUACCGCGGCUGCUGGCAC
rnacentral:rRNA from 1 species